rnacentral:lncRNA from 1 species
GUAAAAACAGCACCCUCCAGAAAACCAGACCCUAGCCUGGUUGGAUAACCAACCAUCAGCACCCUCUGGGGUCUGACCCAGGAGGCCAGCUGCAGGGUUGGAAGAGAGGGCAGAAGAAGCUGACAGAAGGCUCACAGACCUCUAGGCUUGCACCGCUGGCCUUGCCUGCCUUCCUCCACCAGGGCCAUGCAGGCACAGGUCUAAUGAUCUGCCUCCACCCUUUGAUGCUGAUCUUGCUGCAGUCACCUCCAAGCCUCUUAGCCCAAAACUGCCCCCAACUUUGUCUCAAGCACCCCAGCUCAAGGGCUCCUGAAGCUUCCUGGAGACAGGAUUCCAGGCCCCUUGUGUCCUCCAGCAUUUCCUGCCUUCCAGACAGCCCUUUGUAUAGGCUCAGGGGCUGGCAUUCAGAUGGGCUCCAGUGGGUGAACCCUCUCAUCUCUACAGAAUGAGAAGCAAUGGUCUCAGAAGUCCCCAAGCGCAGCACAAUGUGGGGUCUAUUCCAUGGCUCUUGGCUGACAGUAUGAGGUGCCCGGACCAUCGCCUAAGCCAUAUCCUCCCAGACAGAGCUUCUCUACUCUGACCCUACCAGCCUGCUAGGCUAACUGUUGGCAUUCAGGCAUUACACUGCCUUGGCCAGCUGGGUCAGAACAUGAAGCCAGAGUCCUCAGGAGUCAUCCCCCACCCAUCUCUUAUGAACUCAGCUGGGCAGCUUCUACAAGGAAAGGCUCAGUACAUUCAUGAAAACCUCAAACCCUGCUGUGUUAGGCACAUUCCUGUUCUAGGUUGUUCCCAUGACAGCAUGGCAAGGGACUACUGGGCAUCUUGGCUGGAAGGAACAUAGAUGUGAUGUGACAUGACACGUGGAGGCUUCUGCUCUAGAUUCUCCACUCUGCAUCCCCACUCUGGCUUUGACCCUUGGAGACUGUCCCCCGGAAUAAAGGAUGUUUUGAGGGUCCUGCCAGGUCUCAUGGGGGUGGCAGAAAGCAGGCUCUGAGCUGCCAACUUGGCAUGGGAGCUGGGGGUAGCGAGCCAGUGCCACGGAAGGGCAUGAGGGAACUGGAGAAAGUAAACUGCCAGCCCCUUUGAGCCAAUUUCGGAAGAAGUUAGCCUUCUGGCUUCAGAGCUGAAAGGUGCUCCACCUUGUGGCUGCAGGUGGUAGCACAGCACAGGGGGCGGAUGGCACAGUCCUGGAUGGCUCACUGUGGGGUCUUAUACCACUACUUUACCCUUUCCCUACCCAAUAGCCUGCUAAGCUCCGGCACUACUUGGGGCCACUUGGCAGGGCCUUUCUUUUUGUACCUCUGUCUCUGCCCACUUGGGGAUAGACUGCUGCCCCUGGUCUUGUCUAGGCUCUGAGUUUCAUCUCCUAGGUGACCUUGGCAAGUCCCAGUAAGCUCUCUAAUUCUUAGUUUCUUUACCUCAAAGGAUGGUGGCUGCCUCCUUACUUUUCCCCUAAUCUUUUCUCCCUCCGCAGCCAUGCACAGAGGCCCAUGACCAGCAGAGCUGGCCCAUGAAGACUUUCUAGGGAUGAAAGACCCACGUAUGAACCAUCUGCCACUUGCUCACUAGAGCUGGAGGACUGGAGGGAGGGCCUGUCCUGGUGUGAGACUUGGUGUUAUCAGGAAAGGGAAUUUUAAAACCUAGGAAGUCAUCUGAGGAGGUUAGACUAUGGAGGCGUGACAACCUAUAGGAUCUUUAGAUUCUUGGAGAGGGGUGCAAGUAAAUCCUGGGCUUGGGGAGCUGAGGGCAUGAGCUAGUGCACAAGGAGGGAGGUGAUGUGGACAGUAUAGGGGGUGUGAAGGGCUGGGGACAGUGAGUCAAUGCAGGGGUAUGGGGGGCUGAGGGCAGUGAGAAUGCAG